GAUGAAGAACGCAGCGAAAUGCGAUAAGUAAUGUGAAUUGCAGAAUUCAGUGAAUCAUCGAAUCUUUGAACGCACCUUGCGCUCCUUGGUAUUCCGAGGAGCAUGCCUGUUUGAGUGUCAUUAAUAUAUCAACCUUUUCUUUUUUGAGUUGUUUGGAUGUGGGGGUUUGUUGGCCUCUUAAAUGAUUCAGCUCCCCUGAAAUGCAUUAGCAGAACAACCUGUUCAUUAGCGUGAUAAUUAUCUAUGCUAUUGAAUGUGAGGGCAGUUCAGCUUUCUAACCGUCCUUGGACAAUUCAUCAUUAAUGUGACCUCAAAUCAGGUAGGACUACCCGCUGAACUUAAGCAUAUCAAUAAGCGGAGGA
rnacentral:misc_RNA from 1 species